UACGGAGGAUGCGAGCGUUAUCCGGAUUUAUUGGGUUUAAAGGGUGCGUAGGCGGUUCGUUAAGUCAGCGGUAAAAUUGCGGGGCUCAGCCCCGUCGAGCCGUUGAAACUGGCAGACUUGAGUUGGCGAGAAGUACGCGGAAUGCGCGGUGUAGCGGUGAAAUGCAUAGAUAUCGCGCAGAACUCCGAUUGCGAAGGCAGCGUACCGGCGCCAGACUGACGCUGAGGCACGAAAGCGUGGGGAUCGAACAGG
rnacentral:rRNA from 1 species